AAGCAUCUGCUGAUAGGCCAGGAACGACUUCCUUUGCUCUCUGGCUUGCAUGAAGAUGCAAUAGCAACCUCUUCGCGCUUUCUGUCUGCCUGAUAACAUGGCAGUUCAGAUUGAAUAGGGGAGAACAGUU